rnacentral:rRNA from 1 species
GAGUGGCGGACGGGUGAGGAAUACGUAGGAAUCUGCCCUUAAGUGGGGGAUAACCCGGGGAAACCCGGAUUAAUACCGCAUGAUCUCGAAAGAGCAAAGCAGGGGACCGCAAGGCCUUGCGCUUUUGGAGGAGCCUACGUCGGAUUAGCUAGUUGGUGAGGUAACGGCUCACCAAGGCGACGAUCCGUAACUGGUCUGAGAGGAUGAUCAGUCACACCGGAACUGAGACACGGUCCGGACUCCUACGGGAGGCAGCAGUGGGGAAUAUUGGACAAUGGGCGAAAGCCUGAUCCAGCAAUGCCGCAGUGUGUGAAGAAGGCCUUCGGGUUGUAAAGCACUUUAAGUUGGGAAGAAAAAGCUUCACCUAAUACGGGAGCCUUGACGGUACCGACAGAUAAGCACCGGCUAA